CUCACACCGUCAGUGGAAGGAACACGAAAAAAGUACAGUAAACGUAGAAAAUCUUUUCUGUGUGCCUGACGAAGUUCUCAGGCCUAUCCCUUUGUAAUAUACAGCUCUCUAAUUGAAAUUGUAAUGUGUAUGACCGCCGAAAAUGGUCGUAUCGUUGAAGGUAUUGAAUUCAAACUUCUUACAGAUCAAUUUCAGGACUAUUCACCUUUUGCUCUUCAAAAUGAAAACACAAGAUUGGAGUGGCUAAUAGGAUCUAACUCGCAUUAACCUGGAAUGAGUGAUAGGCAGCAGAUGUUCGAAAGUUAAAAUGAGUCCCUUGCCACAAAGUUUGCCGUGUCUGUGCACUAAGCCCGUUGUUCAAAGUAAGUCUAUAUGAGGGGUUCAGAGAAUCUGUAGCAUGGCAGAUUUACAAGGGGGGAAAAAAAUCUGCAUUAACUCAACAGUUGCUGAAUGGUAUUUAACACCUUGAGUUGAUUAAUUGGUAAACGUCUUUCUGAACCAGGAUAAUUUGCUCAAGAAUGCUGAAGUUGAAGAGGUUUGAUUCAGACAAUUGAGACAAUGAGAAACAGAAUUUUAUACAGUUCAUCAUAUUGAUACGCUGUGUUCUGUAACUCCUUUCAGUAUUAACGUAUGUAACUGCCCUUUAUAACUCCUCCUGAUACUCCCCCCAGGCUAACUGGUGAGAUUCCUCCCAUUGUUCUUAUAUCCCU